rnacentral:ncRNA from 1 species
UGCUUGAGAAAGGGUUAAAAGGGAAACAGGUGUGAUUCCUGUACGAUCUCGUCACUGUGAUUAGGGAGUGCGGCUUUUGUUUAUGCCACUGAUGCCUUGCAUUGGGAAGGUAAAAGCCGUGUGAUGAUCUUUCAGCCAGGAAACCUGCCAGUUGUUU